CCUGCCCAAUGGUUGUAUCUAAAAGCGGUUGAUAAAAGUCGACCGCGUAAGGACAAUUGAAUGGCCGCGGUAACACUGACCGUGAUAAUGUAGCGUAAUCAAUAGCCAAUUAAUUGUUGGCCAGUAUGAAUGGCGCCACGAAGGCCCCACUGUCUUAAGGAAAUUCCCAGUGAAAUUGAAUUCGUAGUGAAGAUGCUACGUCCAAUUUGUUAGACGAAAAGACCCCGUUGAGCUUUACUGGGGCACUUACACGGCCCCGGCCUUCAAGACUGGGUUGAUAAGCCAAGGCUUACCAUACCUAGGGACCGGCCGAAUUUAAAUGGGSGGCUUAGACUAUGUGGCAGCCCCCCCCGUCGGGGCAGAUGAAACCCCACUCCCCCAUGUCAAAGGGGCUAACCCCCCCCCCCUUGGGGGGGGACAAUGUAAGUAGGACAGUUUGGUUGGGGCGACCGCCUUUUAGAGAGUAACGAAGGUGCGCUUAAGGUGCGUAAUUAAUGACUGAAGCCUGACUGCGAGGGGGACACCCCGAGCAGACACCCCCAAGCCCGCCCGAGAAGGCUUUGCCUUCUGGGCGGCGGUGGGGUGG
rnacentral:rRNA from 1 species